rnacentral:lncRNA from 1 species
GGUGCUCGAGCUGUGGUGCGUGCCGCUAAGUUGUGCGUUCCAGGGUGCACUCGCCGGCGAGGCUGCACGGCGCCGGUUUCAUUGCUAAAAUCCGACGGACUUGUUGCAGAACUCGUUUUUUUUGUCGGGAAAGGGCUUCCCCGUGUAACUUUACAGCAGUUAUCGUAGAUAAGACUUGCAAAUUACAGAUGUGGACGGUGAGGGAACGGGAAUUUCACUGAAAGCGCCUGAGAACCAGUAAGAGACCUGCAACAGCUUUGUGCUCCACUGGCGAAUGCUUCCUCCCCUAAUACACAUUAUGUGUGCUUGGAGACACAAGGAGUAAGAUACAGCCCCUCAAGGGACUCGUCAUAGGGAGAGGACACAGCUUUGGGAAUAAAGGGGCCACAAAGGAGGAGAGAGGAGUUUGCUGAAACUUCCCAAGCUCCCAUUCCAGCAGUUCCUGAAGGAUUCAUUUCUCUCUGAGGAUCUCAUGAGGUGGCUUAGCAGCUAGAAUCUCUUCCUUAACAGUGGGAAGAACAACUCCUGGAAAUUUAGGUCGACUUUGACUGGAUUUAAAAGAAAGCUGUACAAUUCCACUUCUGUAUAUACAACCAAAGGAAAUGAGAUGUGCAUACCCAUGUUCAAUGAAGCAUUAUUCACAAUAGCCAAAAUGUGGAACCAAUCCUUAAACAAAAGGAAAACAGAAAAUCUGCUCAAGUCCCUGCAGGCACCUGAGAAAAUCACAACCCACACUUGCGAACCCCUAGGAGACCUAAAGCUGUGGUUUUACAAAUAAACAGAUAAGUAACAUUCCUACUCUUUCCUAUAGGUACUCAAUCUUCUUAACAACUCCCAUCCCACACAGGUUUGCAUCCCCAGCAGAUACAUAUGGCUAUGUGGUCACCCAUUCGAUCAGCCUAUAAAAGACUUGUCUUAUUUGAUAUUGUGAAACCCAUGGUUAUCAGUGUAUAUGAAAAUGUUUGGUUCAGGGGUCAAUGUACAAUAUGACAAGCAAAGUCCUCUAAUACACAGUUAUAUAAAAUCACUCACCUGAGAGCCAAGUGGACAAUUGGCCUUAUAUUGGCUGGAGUUGGAGCCCCAGAGGGAAAAUUUGCCUAUUAUUAGGCAACUCUUCAAAACUUUACUUAUUCGUUUCUAAACACUGUCUCAUAAAAUGGGGGAUGCUUUAGAUGAAUUAAGAUUAGCACUAGAUUACUUAUUCGUUGAAAAUUAGCACUAGAUUUCUUAUUGGUUGAACAAGGAGGAGUGUGCACCAUAAUCAAUAUAACCUGCUGCAGUUAUGUAAACACCUCAGGUCACAUAGAAGAAGAUAUACAGAAAAUACAUGAACAAGCUGUGUGGUUGCGUAAAUAUAACCAAGGCACCAAUCCCAACUGUAUCUGGUCAGCCAUUAGAAGCACCCUCCUGAGUCUCACUUGGUUGUUGCCCUUCCUAGGAACUUUGAUAGUUGUCUUAUUAUUAAUCUUUGGCCCUUGCUUGUUUAAAUUCUUGGUAAAGUUUGUGUUUUUUAGAUUACAACAAUUCCACAUAAAGAUGAUACUGACACAAAGCUUCCAAUCCAUCCCGUCUUCUGAACCGGGAAAUAAAGACACCCUGCCUUUAGGUGUCUUUAGAUCUAGAUCAGGCAUCUAGAGAUUUUUACUCCUCCAAUACUUGGCAGGGUCUAUGCCCGUAGACUCAUCAGGAUACCAUGUAAAUGAGGACCUCCCUUGGUACCCCAGAGGCCAACUGUAGACCCUUAUGAGAAAAUCCUGUCCCCAAAAUGAACAUCCACUGUCAGCAGGAAGAAGUUACAGAAGACCAGCCUUUGCCCUUACGAUUAAGGGUCCUCUUGUAAGUAGAGAGGGGAAUGUUAGGAAAGCAGGAGCCUAGGUGAUCCAGAGUGACACCAUUUUAAAAUAAACUCCACCUGAAAACUAGCAAGGCAUCUGCACACAUCUGUUUAGCAAGUAUAUACUUCUGUAACUGGAAUAAAAAGCGUUAUUUUAGAAUAUGCCUAUAGUUUGUAAUAAUUAGCCGAGGGAAAAAAAGUUCACAUUGGUGUAGGAAAAGUGCCCUAAUGGUCAUGGGUAAUAAUGGGACCGUGGUUCUGGUCAGUGAUUUGAUGGAAGGGGUGUAGAUAAUAUAUUGUUGUAAAUAAUAAAAAUAAAAAAUUGUUGUAAGUAAUAAAAAUAAAAUAAUAUUGUUGUAAGUAAUAAAGUAGGAGAAAUAUUUGGUCUUUUGCUUUUGGGUUAGUGCAACAGUAGUACCAUUACUUGGAGGAGAAGUUAGAGAAGGACAAGAAUAGGCUUGAAUAAGAUGAGUGAGAAGAGAGAAAAAUUCCGUAAGUGGAGAUGGCCAGGGAACACCAGGGCAGCAGAAUCUAACUCUGAAUUUAAUGCUGUUGUCUGUUCAUAUUGCACUGCGCUGUAAUCUCCCUAUCUUUCCUAAACCAUUGGCAAAGUCUGCUAUCCACUGGGGCCUUGGGUCGGUGGUGCUUUGGGAAAUACCAGAAGAGGGAAAGUACGGCAAAUGUGCAGUGUCACAGAUGAUAGGAGGAAAGCUGGCCAGUGGGAUGAUUAAAACAAUUUCGGUGGGAGUGGGAAUUCAGACCAUGUAAAUGGUCUGAAUUAAGAAAAUUUCAAGAAACAAAAAAUGUUUCUAAUGAGCCAAAGUGAAAGCUCUUCAUGAUUUCUUUAUAGAGGCUCUCUAGUGCUUGUCCUAAUUUCCUGAAAUCUCAUGGGUAUCUUACUCUCCUGGUGCCCGCCUCAAACAUUCACUGUAGCAAUUAUAUGAGCAGCCUAGAGAAUCCCAAUCCCAGUGGUCUUGCUCCCUGGAUCUACUUUCUCUUAAAAAUCAUUCCCCUAAGUUUCCGUCACUUGGUUGAAGUUUAGUAGAUAUCUCCACAUCUCCAGCUAGAACAGCACCAGAAUUUCAGGACUAGGGCAAUAGAGUCUGAUAUUAAAUUCUAUUUCUAUCUAUCUAUCUAUCAUCUAUCUAUCUAUCUAUCUAUCUAUCUAUCUAUCUAUCUAUCUAUCUACAGAACAAUUUGUGGGAUAGUAGCUUUGGGGUCCCAGAUCUAGGAUGGGCCUGGUCCUCCAUGCUGGUUCUCCUGGGUGAUAUUUCUGUUAGUUUGAACAGUAAUCACACUUUUAUUACUGUUUCAUCUUUUUUUUUUCACUCUUAGACUGAUUUUAUCAUGUGUAUAAAACAUACACACACCUACAUCUCAAGGAUAAACAUUAAUCCUUGAAAAAUAUGUGGUCUAAAACUAUAUUGAGGAGAGAAAGAUAGGACACUUUAAUUGCCACAUGAUUAACACGAGGUCACCACACAGCUUUCACAAAUCUACAAGUCAUUCUAUUUAGGCUGAGUCAAGUUCUCCCUUGGGCCAGCCAGAGCACAAAUAAUGGAGCAAUGUGACUCUUCAAUGACAGAUCUCUGAUUUCCAGAAAAGAGACUUUGAAAUACCCAAUUCUAGUAAAUAUGCAAUUAAAUUUCCAGCUAAAUGACCUUUGCUCCUGUAGUCUUCAUCUUGGGGAAGGGAAAGAAGUCUUAUUCUGUUUAAUAGUUUGAUUUUUAUAAUAGGGUUUGUCUCUGUUAUAAAUCUUGUUUGAUAUUUAAAAUGUUAGCUAAGAGAAAACUUCUGUUUGUUUUUAUUUAGUGGGAAGAAACUAACCCUCAUUGAGUGCCUAGUUAACAUCAGGCACUUUGUACACAUAAUCAAUUGAAUCUUGACCACAACCCUGUGAGGUGAAAAAUGAGAAGAUUAAAUAAGCCAUGGGAAGAUUUUUUAAAAUGACAUGAAACUCCAAGGGUAAAAAGUAGGUAACCUUCUCCCGCAGUAUCCUGGUUCCCAUGCUUUCUGUACCCACGUGCCUACUCUUGCAAUCUAUACAUUGUUCCUGUUCAGCAGAGUUUGGAUGAAUACCCAACAGCCUGAGGAGACUGACUGUUACUUGAAAUGAAGGAGUGUUCUUGUUUGAACGAUCCUGCUCAGAAGGACCAGCCUGGGCUUGCAUCUCUUGUAGUAUUUUACUAAACCCUGCAACAGUAGCCACUUUUUUUCCCUGCCAAGUUAUCUAAAUGUAGAGCUUCCUGUGGUCUGAGUUUUAAGAGAUUACAGGUGAUAAUUAACUAAUUAUUUGCUUUACUAUAGAAUCUAUGUAUAGGUGGAAUCGAAGGUGGUGGAAUCUUUACUGAUUCCCUGACCCACUUCACUCAGUGAGUUACAUAUUUGAGGGAUAUCAGUGAAGUGUAUCACUAUGGUCUACUUGUUUGCAACUUACAAAAACCCAACAUGAAUAACCUUGGUAUCCAUGGGCUCUUGCUUCCAAGUUACAAAAACCUAGCAUGCAUAACCUUAGAGAAAAAAGGGAACAUUUUGACUGAUAGAAACCAUGAAAUGAGCGAAAAACAAAACAAAGAAAGUGGGCAGAAAUACAACUGGGAGCAGAAACUUGAAACCAUUCAACUUAAAGAAGACUUUCCCUCUCUCUUAUGUGAAGUGGUGUAUGUAGCAUAGUGGUUAAGAGCAGAGAUGCUAGCCCUAAUAGAUCUGGGUUCAAAUCUUAGCUUUAUUUCUCUUCUGUGACAUAAGGCAAGAAGCCCAAAACUUCUGUGCCCCAGUUUACCUAUCAAUAAGGUAUGAUAAUAGUAGUACCCACCUCAUACAUUUAUUAUGAGCAUUAAGAGAGUUAUCAUAUGACAAACGUUUGAAUUUGUGCCUAGCACAUAGCGGGACCUAUGUAUAAGUGCUACCUGUUAUUAUUAUGGUAUCUCUGAGAACAUUGAUUUCAGUUGUUCACCAUUGACUUGCUUUUGUUAUAGAGUUAGGAAAUAUGGCCAAUAAAAAUGUUUGAUUCGUAAGUCUAACUGCAACAGGAGAAUUCUGAUCUUUCCCUCAUCUUAAGUCCAAAGAUGUAAGGGAGGCUCUCUUUGCUAGCAUGAGUCUGGUGCUCACUCCUCAGCCAAUGAAAUCUCACCAAAUUUGUGGAGUUUGGGAAGAGUUUGACAGCUACUAUGGCAGUCAUGUGGACAUCCUUGAGCAGCUGAAGAGAUGCCCUGCCCGGAGAGGAGGAAUCUAGAGAGGCAAUCUGGCUACAGUGGCUUUGCCGAGCUACAGUGGGCUCUACCCAGUUUGAACCUCCUGGCAGCUUUGUUUACACUGUGAGGGGAAAACCAUCUACUUAAGCCUCAGUAAUGGCAGACGCUCCUCUCUCUAAGGUCAAGUGUAACUGUUUACUUCAGACUGUUGUGCUGGCUGUGAGAAUUUCAAGCCCGUGGAUCUCAGCUUGCUGGGCUCCAUGGGGGUGGGAUCCACUGAGAUAAACCACUUGGCUCCCUGGCUUAAGCCUUCUUUUCAGGCUGGGAAAUCUUAGGAUGGUGAACCAUCAUGUUUCCUGAAUGUGAAUCCUGUACCUGGUUUGACUGUAGUCACCCCUUCUCCAACACUCUCCACGAUGCCGGCUGCCUCAUGGCCUAAAAUCACAGGAAGUGGGGUCACCAUGGUACCACUAACCACGUGGUCAUCUGUGCCACAGAUUCCUACAGCCACCAUCUACAGAGUGAAGAGAAGAUGUUUAUAAAAGAUUGUGAGUCUCAGGAUGUUCAACAUGAUCAAUGCCAAAUAAAUAUCAGAAUACUUGGAAGUAAAGUACUAAUAGUAGGAGUUCCUGAUUAUCAGGUGCCUAUGAUGUGACAGGCACAUUGUGGCCUGUGCUCGACCAGGAGACUGGUGAGUCCUUGUGGAUUUCUUCCCUGCUCAAGUGCAUAAAGCAGGUGUAUUGCAUAGCUUUUCCAGGCUGAGAUCAAAGACGGAGAUGUGCCUACCCGCAGAUCCUAGAUGGCCAUGUUUGCAACAGAGGUAAUGAUGAGCAGUGCGAAGAUGUGACUCCAAAGCCUGGAGAAGGACAGACCAGCAUCCCUGCAAGAGAUCCAACUGUCUUCUUUUCCGCAGAGGUCCAUAAUUUACAUGGGCCUGACAAAGAAUACUGUAACUUGCAGAAAUUAUCUUCAGUUCAAAUCCUUCAUUUUGGGGGUUAAAUAACUUGCCCAAGAUGUCGAGGGAGCGGAAAUACUUGCUGGUCUUGCAGCGGCUGUGGAGCCUGGAAUCCUGCCAAGAAGAGCAUGUGUGAGAGAUCAAAAUGUUUGCUUACAUUCCUCCUGUGAAGGGAGUUGGGAAAUAACCUAAGAAGCCCAAUCCAAAAACAAAGAUGUACCAUCCAGUCUUCUCUGUGAGAACCAAACUACAAACCAUCUGAAUGUUCCAAAAGUGUUUUGAUGAUGUAUUGAUGUAUUUUAAAUUAUCCUGAAAAUGUUCUUGGCAGAUGCUUAAACAUGUAAUUACUGAGAUGAUGUAGAAAUACCAAGUGUUUAUUAAAACAAUACAGAGUAAUACAAAUGGUAUGUUUGUCGCAAUAUAAAAGUAUCUAAAAAUUAAAGAGUUCUUUAAUGGUGGAGAUUGUUUUCCUUUUUGAAGUUAAAAUAUAAAUUUUUGUAAAAAGCACAAAUUAUUACUAUUUAUAGCUAACAUUUAUGGAGUGCUGACUAUGCUCAUUUUUGAGCAUACAUUGCCUCAUUUAGUGCAAUGUUUAGCAUUAACUUAUGAGGUAAAUGCCAUUGCCAUGCACAUUGUACAGAUGAAGACAUUGAGGUUUAGAGAGAUUGCAU